rnacentral:rRNA from 1 species
UUUGCAGUCGGGUGUGAAGCCCUCAGCUCAACUGAGGAAGUGCGCCCGAAACUGCAGAGCUUGAGUGCCGGAGAGGGUGGCGGAAUUCCCCAAGUAGAGGUGAAAUUCGUAGAUAUGGGGAGGAACACCGGUGGCGAAGGCGGCCACCUGGACGGUAACUGACGCUGAGACGCGAAAGCGUGGGGAGCAAACAGGAUUAGAUACCCUGGUAGUCCACGCCUUAAACGUUGGGCACUAGGUGUUGUGGGUAUUGACCCCUGCAGUGCCAAGGGCGAAUUCCACAGUGGAUA